GAUGAACGCUGGCGGCGUGCUUAACACAUGCAAGUCGAACGGAAAGGCCCAAGCUUGCUUGGGUACUCGAGUGGCGAACGGGUGAGUAACACGUGGGUGAUCUGCCCUGCACUUCGGGAUAAGCCUGGGAAACUGGGUCUAAUACCGGAUAGGACGAUGGCUUGGAUGCCAUUGUGGAAAGUUUUUUCGGUGUGGGAUGAGCUCGCGGCCUAUCAGCUUGUUGGUGGGGUAAUGGCCUACCAAGGCGUCGACGGGUAGCCGGCCUGAGAGGGUGUACGGCGACAUUGGGACUGAGAUACGGCCCAGACUCCUACGGGAGGCAGCAGUGGGGAAUAUUGCACAAUGGGCGCAAGCCUGAUGCAGCGACGCCGCGUGGGGGAUGACGGCCUUCGGGUUGUAAACACCUUUCGCUAGGGACGAAGCGUUUUUGUGACGGUACCUGGAGAAGAAGCACCGGCUAACUACGUG
rnacentral:rRNA from 1 species